GACGAACGCUGGCGGCGUGCUUAACACAUGCAAGUCGAACGGAAAGGCCUGCUUUCCCUUGUGGAUUGCGGGUACUCGAGUGGCGAACGGGUGAGUAACACGUGAGUGAUCUGCCCCCAACUUGGGUAUAAGCCUGGGAAACUGGGUCUAAUUCCCGAUAGGACUGCAGGGUGGUGCCUGUGGUGGAAAACGAUUUUCUAGUGGAUGGGGAUGAGCCCGCGGCCUAUCAGCUUGUUGGUGGGGUAAUGGCCUACCAAGGCGGCGACGGGUAGCCGGCCUGAGAGGGUGGACGGCCACAUUGGGACUGAGAUACGGCCCAGACUCCUACGGGAGGCAGCAGUGGGGAAUAUUGCACAAUGGGCGGAAGCCUGAUGCAGCGACGCCGCGUGGGGGAUGACGGCCUUCGGGUUGUAAACUCCUUUCGACCGCGAGGAAGCCACCUGGUUGGAAGGGUGGUGACGGUAGUGGUAGAAGAAGCACCGGCUAACUACGUG
rnacentral:rRNA from 1 species